GAACGCGAAGAACCUUACCAUCCCUUGACAUGUCGUGCCAUCCGGAGAGAUCCGGGGUUCCCUUCGGGGACGCGAACACAGGUGCCGCAUGGCUGUCGUCAGCUCGUGUCGUGAGAUGUUGGGUUAAGUCCCGCAACGAGCGCAACCCACGUCCUUAGUUGCCAUCAUUCAGUUGGGCACUCUAGGGAGACUGCCGGUGAUAAGCCGCGAGGAAGGUGUGGAUGACGUCAAGUCCUCAUGGCCCUUACGGGAUGGGCUACACACGUGCUACAAUGGCGGUGACAGUGGGACGCGAAACCGCGAGGUUGAGCAAAUCCCCAAAAACCGUCUCAGUUCAGAUUGCACUCUGCAACUCGAGUGCAUGAAGGCGGAAUCGCUAGUAAUCGUGGAUCAGCAUGCCACGGUGAAUACGUUCCCGGGUCUUGUACACACC
rnacentral:rRNA from 1 species